GGCCAGACUCCUACGGGAGGCAGCAGUAGGGAAUUUUGCGCAAUGGGCGAAAGCCUGACGCAGCAACACCGCGUGAAUGUUAAGCCCUUCGGGGUGUAAAGUUCUGUCAAUAGGGACGAAUUUUGACUGUACCUAUAAAGGAAGCACCGGCUAACUCCGUGCCAGCAGCCGCGGUAAUACGGGGGGUGCAAGCGUUGUCCGGAAUUACUGGGUGUAAAGGGAGCGUAGGCGGGGAUGCAAGUUGGGUGUUAAAUCUACCGGCUCAACUGGUAGUCGCACUCAAAACUGCAGCUCUUGAGUGAAGUAGAGGCAGGCGGAAUUCCUAGUGUAGCGGUGAAAUGCGUAGAUAUUAGGAGGAACACCAGUGGCGAAGGCGGCCUGCUGGGCUUUUACUGACGCUGAGGCUCGAAAGUGUGGGGAGCAAACAGGAUUAGAUACCCGUGUAAA
rnacentral:rRNA from 1 species